UGAGCAACUUGAAAAUGAAAACAAGGCUCGA
rnacentral:piRNA from 1 species